AUUGAACGCUGGCGGCAUGCUUUACACAUGCAAGUCGAACGGCAGCAUGGGUGCUUGCACCUGAUGGCGAGUGGCGAACGGGUGAGUAAUGUAUCGGAACACAUCCGCAAGUGGGGGAUAACGUAGCGAAAGUUACGCUAAUACCGCAUAUUCCCUGAGGGGGAAAGGAGGGGAUCCGCAAGGACCUUUCGCUUACGGAGUGGCCGAUAUCAGAUUAGCUAGUUGGUGGGGUAAAGGCCUACCAAGGCGACGAUCUGUAGCGGGUCUGAGAGGAUGAUCCGCCACACUGGGACUGAGACACGGCCCAGACUCCUACGGGAGGCAGCAGUGGGGAAUUUUGGACAAUGGGGGCAACCCUGAUCCAGCCAUGCCGCGUGAGUGAAGAAGGCCUUCGGGUUGUAAAGCUCUUUCAGCUGGAAAAAAAUCGCUUCACCUAAUACGUGGAGUGGAUGAUGGUACCAGCAGAAGAAGCACCGGCUAACUACGUGCCAGCCGCCGCGGUAACAC
rnacentral:rRNA from 1 species